rnacentral:rRNA from 1 species
UGGGGAAUAUUGGGCAAUGGAGGCAACUCUGACCCAGCCAUGCCGCGUGGGUGACGAAGGUCUUCGGAUUGUAAAGCCCUUUCGGCGGGGACGAUGAUGACGGUACCCGCAGAAGAAGCCCCGGCUAACUUCGUGCCAGCAGCCGCGGUAAUACGAAGGGGGCUAGCGUUGUUCGGAAUUACUGGGCGUAAAGGGCGUGUAGGCGGCCCGCUAAGUCAGGUGUGAAAUUCCUGGGCUCAACCCAGGACGUGCACUUGAGACUGACAGGCUUGAGUCCGGGAGAGGAUGGUGGAACUCCCAGUGUAGAGGUGAAAUUCGUAGAUAUUGGGAAGAACACCCGUGGCGAAGGCGGCCAUCUGGACCGGUACUGACGCUAAGGCGCGACAGCGUGGGGAGCAAACA